rnacentral:rRNA from 1 species
GACGAACGCUGGCGGCGCGCUUAACACAUGCAAGUCGAACGAGAACCAGCCCUUCGGGGCUGGGGAAAGUGGCGAACGGGUGAGUAACACGUGGGUAAUCUGCCCUCGGCACCGGAAUAGCCCGGGGAAACCCGGAUUAAUGCCGGAUAGCCUCUCCAGCCCUCGGGUUGGUGAGAAAAGGUAGCUUCGGCCUCUGGCCGAGGAGGAGCCCGCGGCGGAUUAGCUUGUUGGUGGGGUAACGGCUCACCAAGGCGACGAUCCGUAGCUGGUCUGAGAGGACGAUCAGCCACACUGGGACUGAGACACGGCCCAGACUCCUACGGGAGGCAGCAGUGGGGAAUCUUGCGCAAUGGGCGAGAGCCUGACGCAGCGACGCCGCGUGCGGGAAGAAGGCCUUCGGGUUGUAAACCGCUUUCAGGAGGGACGAAGCCACUCGGGUUAAUAGCCCAGAGGGUGACGGUAACUCAAGAAUAAGGGACGGCUAACUACGUGCCAGCAGCCGCAGUAA